UACGGGGGGGGCAAGCGUUGUUCGGAAUUACUGGGCGUAAAGGGUUCGUAGGUGGCCAACUCAGUCAGACGUGAAAUCCCUCGGCUUAACCGGGGAACUGCGUCUGAUACUGGAUGGCUUGAGUUCGGGAGAGGGAUGCGGAAUUCCAGGUGUAGCGGUGAAAUGCGUAGAUAUCUGGAGGAACACCGGUGGCGAAGGCGGCAUCCUGGACCGACACUGACACUGAGGAGCGAAAGCCAGGGGAGCGAAACAGGG
rnacentral:rRNA from 1 species